rnacentral:rRNA from 1 species
CGGCAGCACGGGAGCUUGCUCCUGGUGGCGAGUGGCGAACGGGUGAGUAAUGCGUCGGAACGUACCGAGUAAUGGGGGAUAACGCAGCGAAAGUUGUGCUAAUACCGCAUACGCCCUGAGGGGGAAAGCGGGGGAUCGUAAGACCUCGCGUUAUUCGAGCGGCCGACGUCUGAUUAGCUAGUUGGUGGGGUAAAGGCCUACCAAGGCGACGAUCAGUAGCGGGUCUGAGAGGAUGAUCCGCCACACUGGGACUGAGACACGGCCCAGACUCCUACGGGAGGCAGCAGUGGGGAAUUUUGGACAAUGGGGGCAACCCUGAUCCAGCCAUUCCGCGUGAGUGAAGAAGGCCUUCGGGUUGUAAAGCUCUUUCAGCUGGAGUGAAACGGUGAGCUCUAACAUAGCUUGCUAAUGACGGUACCAGCAGAAGAAGCACCGGCUAACUACGUGCCAGCAGCCGCGGUAAUACGUAGGGUGCGAGCGUUAAUCGGAAUUACUGGGCGUAAAGCGUGCGCAGGCGGAUUGUUAAGCAAGACGUGAAAUCCCCGGGCUUAACCUGGGAAUGGCGUUUUGAACUGGCAGUCUAGAGUGCGUCAGAGGGGGGUGGAAUUCCACGUGUAGCAGUGAAAUGCGUAGAGAUGUGGAGGAACACCGAUGGCGAAGGCAGCCCCCUGGGAUGACACUGACGCUCAUGUACG